rnacentral:rRNA from 1 species
CAACUUGAGAGUUUGAUCCUGGCUCAGAACGAACGCUGGCGGCAGGCCUAACACAUGCAAGUCGAGCGAACCCUUCGGGGUUAGCGGCGGACGGGUUAGUAACGCGUGGGAAUAUGCCCUUUUCUACGGAAUAGCCCAGGGAAACUUGGAGUAAUACCGUAUACGCCCUACGGGGGAAAGAUUUAUCGGAGAAGGAUUAGCCCGCGUUGGAUUAGGUAGUUGGUGGGGUAAUGGCCUACCAAGCCUACGAUCCAUAGCUGGUUUGAGAGGAUGAUCAGCAACACUGGGACUGAGACACGGCCCAGACUCCUACGGGAGGCAGCAGUGGGGAAUCUUAGACAAUGGGCGCAAGCCUGAUCUAGCCAUGCCGCGU